AACCAGACACUCCCUUUACAGCAGGUUCGACCGCUGACUACAACCUUGUUGCGCCGAUCCGUCAGACUGCCUCGAUUUUCAAGCAACCAGUCACACUCUACAAGGAUCAUAAAUCUAAGGUUAAAUCUGACUUGAAGACGGUUAAUAAGGAGAAGCCAAGCCAAUUGUUUUGGGCUAAAAGGUUAGGGAACUUGGACCCUGGACAGCUGGAGGAAAACAACCAGGGA